UAUCUGUUCGGACAAUGCAUAGUCGGAGUCAUGGAGAUCAAAGUCGGGGUCGAUCGAUUUACCCCAACAAUUGCCCCCCACUCUCAAGUCUAAAGUGAUCCGAUGUAUAAAUUGUUACGUGAUUUAUCACGUUGGAUGAAGAGAGUUCUAUCACAUCGAGCUCUGAUUUUGAUAUCAUUUUCUUCGAGAUAUGGGUGAUCGGCUAUUUUGUCAUGUUGGCAGGUAUAGUCGUUUGUCACACU
rnacentral:lncRNA from 1 species